rnacentral:rRNA from 1 species
GACGAACGCUGGCGGCGUGCCUAACACAUGCAAGUCAAGGGGAAAGUCACUUUCGGGUGGUGAGUAUACUGGCGGACGGGUGAGUAAUGCCUAGGAAUCUGCCUGGUAGUGGGGGACAACGUUUCGAAAGGAACGCUAAUACCGCAUACGUCCUACGGGAGAAAGUGGGGGAUCUUCGGACCUCACGCUAUCAGAUGAGCCUAGGUCGGAUUAGCUAGUUGGUGAGGUAAAGGCUCACCAAGGCGACGAUCCGUAACUGGUCUGAGAGGAUGAUCAGUCACACUGGAACUGAGACACGGUCCAGACUCCUACGGGUGGCAG